GCAGCUAUAGCUGAGAGGUAAGCAUUUGAUUUGCACGCAUGAUGCUCCAGGUUCAAUCCUUAGUUAUUGCA
rnacentral:tRNA from 2 species